CGAUAACAACACAACAAUAUCAGUAUCUCAUGCUAUUGCCCGAACCCAUUCGGGCAUUUUUU
rfam:Escherichia coli O157:H7 str. Sakai DNA, complete genome.